UCUCCUCCACGGCGACGGCGCGGUGCUCUCCUCCACGGCGACGGCGCGGUGCACUCCUCCACGGCGACGGCGUGGUGUUCAUCUCCACGCAGGCUUCUCCAUGGCGACGGCGCGAUGCGCUCCUCGUUCUGUGCCCAACCACCUCCGGCGAGAAACCCCUCUCCUUUCUCUUCUCCUUCUUCCUCUUCUUCUCUUUUCUCGCAUUCUUCCUUCGCGAACCGGAGAUGCAUGCAGAACCAUAGCAACCUCUGUUCCGCUGGCAAGCUUUGAUGCAACACAGCGACCACCCCUCCGCUGGUCUAUUGCUUUGGCAACAUGGCGACCACCCCUCAAGUGGAGAUGCUGAUGUAAUAUGUGGUGUAGCUUGGAAAUUCUGGCUGCUGGAGCAUAUGGCUUGCCUCAAUUUCGACUGCGAGUGUUUUUAUGGGGUACUAAACCUUCUGAGGUAUUCUAAUAUUUUUGAGAAUGCUGUUGAUCAAGUUCGGUACCUUUUCCCACAUCUAUAUCUCAAUUCUGUUGGGUUGGAUCAUCACAAAGUUGUAAAGGAAGGUCAAUUGGUAGAACCUCACUCAGCAUAACCAUGAAUGAAUUGACAAACUUCGGCAAUCAUAUAAUGAACUCCUCGAAUUCAAGAUUGUAUUGCAGAAGGUUUCGUUGCGCCUUACUGACUUGGAGGCAACUUUGGAUGCAAGGUUGAGGCACCACAAUAAGGCUCUAGCUUUUGUAGGGGAACAUCUAUCAGACUAGAUAAACAUGGUAUGAUUUUCUUUUUUUCUGUCUUGUUUUUCAACUACAAAGCAGUCCUUUUACUUUUGAUACUGCUGCUCGUGAUCAAACAAGAGAGAGCAUCAAUGAGUUCUUGGAAAGUGUUAAAAGCCAUGAUCUAGCAAAAGCUGAGAUUCUCAACAUAAUCAACAUCAGGCCCACUAACAUAGUCGAAAUUUUUUCGAUCAUAGUGUUGUGAUACUCGUUUUUCGGAUGAAGAGCUCACAGAAAUAGUUGAGAUUGUGAAGAGAACAUUGCCACCACCCCCUGAAGAUGCCAAUGGUGCUGAAGCAACAAAAUCAAAUGGUGAGAAAGGUAGGGAACAAAUGGAAACAAGUUGAUAUCCUACUUGUGACCAUAGAAUUUUGUGAAUAGCACCACAGGAUCUCAAGCAAGUAGUUCGGUUAUAGUUUUCUAUUAGUUGGUAUGCUAAGAUUUAGAAUUAGGUUCAAUUUUCAAGGGGUGUAAGUGUGUUGAUUACUACCUUAUUGGUGAUGAAAUACACAUGCAAGGUGCAUUGCCAAAUUUGCAAUAUCGCACAGCAGGAAAAAUAUGUAUUUUGUUACUUAUGUUUAUUUAUUUGACUUGGUAACUUAGCAAGUAUGUUAAUUGGCAGAUGGAAGAUCUUUCUAUAUA